rnacentral:rRNA from 1 species
UACAGAGGGGGGGCAAGCGUUUAUUCGGAAUUAUUGGGCGUAAAGGGCGCGUAGGCGGCUUGGCAAGUGGAUGGUGAAAAUCCCUCGGCUUAAACCGAGGAACUGCCGUCCAAAACUGCUUCGCUUGAGACCGGGAGAGGUGAGUGGAAUUCCCAGUGUAGGCGGUGGAAUGCGUAGAGAUCCGGAAGAACACCGGUGGCGAAGGCGGUCUGC